rnacentral:rRNA from 1 species
GACGAACCGUGCGAACGUUGUUCGGAAUCACUGGGCUUAAAGGGCGCGUAGGCGGGCUGUCAAGUCUGGGGUGAAAUGCCGCGGCUCAACCGUGGAACUGCCUUAGAUACUGACGGCCUCGAGGAAGGUAGGGGCAUGCGGAACUGUAGGUGGAGCGGUGAAAUGCGUUGAUAUCUACAGGAACUCCGGUGACGAAAGCGGCGUGCUGGACCUUUUCUGACGCUGAGGCGCGAAAGCUAGGGGAGCAAACGGG